UCCUGGCUCAUGACGAACGCUGGCGGCGUGCCUAAUACAUGCAAGUCGAGCGGACAGAAGGGAGCUUGCUCCCGGAUGUUAAGGACGGGUGAGUAACACGUGGGUAACCUGCCUGUAAGACUGGGAUAACUCCGGGAAACCGGAGCUAAUACCGGAUAGUUCCUUGAACCGCAUGGUUCAAGGAUGAAAGACGGUUUCGGCUGUCACUUACAGAUGGACCCGCGGCGCAUUAGCUAGUUGGUGGGGUAAUGGCUCACCAAGGCGACGAUGCGUAGCCGACCUGAGAGGGUGAUCGGCCACACUGGGACUGAGACACGGCCCAGACUCCUACGGGAGGCAGCAGUAGGGAAUCUUCCGCAAUGGACGAAAGUCUGACGGAGCAACGCCGCGUGAGUGAUGAAGGUUUUCGGAUCGUAAAGCUCUGUUGUUAGGGAAGAACAAGUGCGAGAGUAACUGCUCGCACCUUGACGUACUAACCAGAAAGCCACGGCUAACUACGUGCCAGCAGCCGCGGUAAUACGUAGGUGGCAAGCGUUGUCCGGAAUUAUUGGGCGUAAAGGGCUCGCAGGCGGUUUCUUAAGUCUGAUGUGAAAGCCCCCGGCUCAACCGGGGAGGGUCAUUGGAAACUGGGAAACUUGAGUGCAGAAGAGGAGAGUGGAAUUCCACGUGUAGCGGUGAAAUGCGUAGAGAUGUGGAGGAACACCAGUGGCGAAGGCGACUCUCUGGUCUGUAACUGACGCUGAGGAGCGAAAGCGUGGGGAGCGAACAGGAUUAG
rnacentral:rRNA from 1 species